rnacentral:rRNA from 1 species
GACGAACGCUGGCGGCGUGCCUAAUACAUGCAAGUCGAGCGGAUUGUUCCUUCGGGAACAGUUAGCGGCGGACGGGUGAGUAACACGUAGGCAACCUGCCUGUAGGAUCGGGAUAACUACCGGAAACGGUAGCUAAGACCGGAUAGCUGAUACUGACGCAUGUCGGAAUCAAGAAACACGGAGCAAUCUGUGACCUAUAGAUGGGCCUGCGGCGCAUUAGCUAGUUGGAAGGGUAACGGCCUCCCAAGGCGACGAUGCGUAGCCGACCUGAGAGGGUGAUCGGCCACACUGGGACUGAGACACGGCCCAGACUCCUACGGGAGGCAGCAGUAGGGAAUCUUCCGCAAUGGACGCAAGUCUGACGGAGCAACGCCGCGUGAGUGAUGAAGGUUUUCGGAUCGUAAAGCUCUGUUGCCAGGGACGAACGGCCAGGAGAGUAACUGCUCCUGGAUUGACGGUACCUGAGAAG